CAGAGGAGAAAAGCUCAUAGCAGCAGGGAAAAGCAGCUGAGAAGGUGCUGCCAGACCUGUUGUAUUUCUCGAGCAACUUCUGGAUUUCUUUGAUUCAGAUCUCAAGAGUGUGCAGUUUUUUGGUUCUAUUUGAGUUAAGGAUAUGAGCAACACUGGCUAGACCAGCAUUUAUUGCCCAUUGUAUCUGCCCUGGAGAAGAGAGUGGUGAGCUGUUUUCUUGAACUGCUGCAAUCCAUUUGGUGUCACUAGAUACACCAUGUCUUUCGAGAGUGAAUCCCAGGAUUUUGAGCCAGCAACAAUGAAGGAACAAAGAAAUAUUUGAGAAUGUGUCUGCCCAUAGGAUUUGGAGAACAUGCUUGAAAGAAAACACUGAAAAGUGCCAAGAGUUAAGAUGCUGUAGGAAUACAGUUUAGCUUGAAAAGUUCCUAACCUUUGCCAGGAAAUCAUUAGAAGAAUUUAUGAUGAUAUAGGUCCUUAUGUCAACCAGUAAUAAAUAAUCCAUAGAUUGAGU